ensembl:processed_transcript
AGCAGCAGCAGCUCUGUGUUCCCUGUGUUUUUAUUAACAUUAUUGUCCCUCAUCAGGCGGUGAGGGUGCUACAUGUAUGAAUGGAAGUCUAUGGGGAGAAAAGUGCAGUGUGCAGUGAGAGCUUGAGGCUUUCCGGAAACAUCCUUCAGUUUAGAGUCAGUUUGAGAAAGGGGCGUGUUUGGUGCAUCAACACUCAUCCAGCAGAAGCAUGUGGACAAGAGCAGAACUACUGCUAGACAUGAUUUGGUUGCUCAGUGGGGACGCCCUGAUCCCCCACACCUUCUCACUCACUGUUCAACUGUUAUGUUCCCUGUAUUUAUACUAAAAACUGCUAAAGUUACUAGUCUAACAGGGUCUUGAACCCUUUGGACCACAACACAACCUUGUCUUCAAUACCCAGCGGAGCCAACAUGGCCAACACGAGACCCAAUCUGAAGUGUAUUUAAGUACACUGGCGCUAAUUACAAUUCAUAAAGUGCAGUCUUUAAGCAUAAUCAAGCUUUCAAUGUUUCUGAUGCUUAAGUGACAACACAACUCACCUGUAAGUCUUCCUUGCUUAUAUAUAUAUUAUUUAAGUAUAAUGCUGCUGCAGAGCUCAUUUAGACUUUGUUUUCAUGCUGCUCUAUUGCUGAAUUGUCAGACUUUCAGAAAAUCAAACACAUUGCUUGUUGUUCCCUAACUUAUAAUCUCAUCAUCAUAUUUCCAGUCACACAAAAAAAGACAUCAAUCCAUGUGUCUUUAGGAGAAAUGCUGUUUAACAUUUAUAUACUAUUCUAGUUGACUUUAUAUCACUUAGACU